rnacentral:lncRNA from 1 species
ACUGAAACACAAAGAACCAUCUUGAGCAAUCUCUACAUCAAAAUUGAAUCCAGUACACAACACCAUACAUCAAAAUCAAAGAAACAGAGCUUGUACGUAUCAAUCUCUAGUUAUUUACCCAAUGCAUGAGAAAAGGAGUUUUUCUUCAUCACAUAAGAGAAAUUAGAAAUUAGAAUAGCAUAAGAAAUUUUGAAAUGAGUUUUGGGGAAUGGCUGUAGUCGAGCCGGGAAGAGGGAGCAGGGGACGGCGGCUCGGCGUCUAAGGUGGACGUUUUCUGCUGCUGCUGCCGGUCGAGAGUGAGAGGAGUGUUAAAGCGGCGGCUGAGCGGUGCUUCUGGCGACGCGGGGGCGGCGGUGGCGGCCGCUGCCGUCGACUGGAAGAGGGAGAGGCGAGAGGAGGAGAUGGAGGUUAGGGAGAGAGAGAGUGCCGGAUUUCCGGCGAAUGCGCCGGUCUCGGGCGCGAGGGAGGAAGAGGGUGCAUCUGUCCGUGUGUGCGUGAGUUGUGAGUAUUUGAGGUAUGAGUGUGUGUUUUAUGUGAAAGUGUGU